CUGGUGAUAGCUGGUUCUCCCCGAAAGCUAUUUAGGUAGCGCCUCGGACGAAUACCAUAGGGGGUAGAGCACUGUUUCGGCUAGGGGGUCAUCCCGACUUACCAAACCGAUGCAAACUCCGAAUACCUAUGAGUACUAUCCGGGAGACAGACUGCGGGUGCUAACGUCCGUAGUCAAGAGGAAAACAAUCCAGACCGCCAGCUAAGGCCCCAAAAUCAUAGUUAAGUGGGAAACGAUGUGGGAAGGCAUAGACAGCUAGGAGGUUGGCUUAGAAGCAGCCACCCUUUAAAGAAAGCGUAAUAGCUCACUAGUCGAGUCGGCCUGCGCGGAAGAUGUAACGGGGCUAAAACUAUGUGCCGAAGCUGCGGAUGUAUACUUUGUAUACGUGGUAGGGGAGCGUUCUGUAAGCCGAUGAAGGUGUAUUGAGAAGUAUGCUGGAGGUAUCAGAAGUGCGAAUGCUGACGUGAGUAACGACAAAACGGGUGAAAAACCCGUUCGCCGAAAGACCAAGGGUUCCAGUCCAACGUUAAUCCGGGCUGGGUGAGUCGACCCCUAAGGCGAGGCCGAAAGGCGUAGUCGAUGGGAAAAUGGUUAAUAUUCCAUUACUUCUGUGUAAUGCGAUGAGAGGACGGAGAAGGCUAAAUCAGCCUGGCGUUGGUUGUCCAGGUGAAAGGAUGUAGGCAUGUAUCUUAGGCAAAUCCGGGGUACUCUAUGCUGAGAUCUGAUAGCAAGCUGUACUUGUACAGCGAAGUGGUUGAUGCCAUGCUUCCAGGAAAAGUCUCUAAGCUUCAGUUACACAGGAAUCGUACCCGAAACCGACACAGGUGGUCAGGUCGAGUAGACCAAGGCGCUUGAGAGAACUCUGCUGAAGGAACUAGGCAAAAUGGUACCGUAACUUCGGGAGAAGGUACGCUGUUGUUGGUGAUGGAACUCGCUUCCUGAGCUGACGACAGCCGCAGAAACCAGGCCGCUGCAACUGUUUAUUAAAAACAUAGCACUCUGCAAACACGAAAGUGGACGUAUAGGGUGUGAUGCCUGCCCGGUGCUGGAAGGUUAAUUGAUGGGGUUAGCGUAAGCGAAGCUCUUGAUCGAAGCCCCAGUAAACGGCGGCCGUAACUAUAACGGUCCUAAGGUAGCGAAAUUCCUUGUCGGGUAAGUUCCGACCUGCACGAAUGGCAUAAUGAUGGCGGCGCUGUCUCCAGCAGAGGCUCAGUGAAAUCGAAAUCGCUGUGAAGAUGCAGUGUACCCGCGGCUAGACGGAAAGACCCCGUGAACCUUUACUGCAGCUUGACACUGAACUUUGACCUUACUUGUGUAGGAUAGGUGGGAGGCUUUGAAGCUGGAACGCUAGUUCCAGUGGAGCCGUCCUUGAAAUACCACCCUGGUAAUGUUGAGGUUCUAACUCUGUCCCGUGAUCCGGGACGAGGACCGUGUCUGGUGGGUAGUUUGACUGGGGCGGUCUCCUCCUAAAGAGUAACGGAGGAGUACGAAGGUGCGCUCAGCGUGGUCGGAAAUCACGCGUAGAGUAUAAAGGCAAAAGCGCGCUUAACUGCGAGACCCACAAGUCGAGCAGGUACGAAAGUAGGUCUUAGUGAUCCGGUGGUUCUGUAUGGAAGGGCCAUCGCUCAACGGAUAAAAGGUACUCUGGGGAUAACAGGCUGAUACCGCCCAAGAGUUCAUAUCGACGGCGGUGUUUGGCACCUCGAUGUCGGCUCAUCUCAUCCUGGGGCUGAAGCAGGUCCCAAGGGUAUGGCUGUUCGCCAUUUAAAGAGGUACGCGAGCUGGGUUUAGAACGUCGUGAGACAGUUCGGUCCCUAUCUACCGUGGGCGCUGGAAAUUUGAGAGGAUCUGCUCCUAGUACGAGAGGACCAGAGUGGACGAACCUCUGGUGUACCGGUUGUGACGCCAGUCGCAUCGCCGGGUAGCUAUGUUCGGAAGGGAUAACCGCUGAAAGCAUCUAAGCGGGAAGCCUACCUCAAGAUAAGAUUUCCCUAGGACUUUAUGUCCUCUAAAGAGCCGUUCGAGACUAGGACGUUGAUAGGUUGGAUGUGGAAGCAUAGUGAUAUGUGAAGCUGACCAAUACUAAUUGCUCGUGAGGCUUGACUAU
rnacentral:rRNA from 1 species